AUGAUGAUGAUGAUACAUAUGACCACGACGAGUAUCAGCAUUUCGAUGAUCAUGACUUUGCCGCGGAUGCUCCUGAAGGAAAUAUGCCUGCUGAGCAAACUAAGUCAAGUGUCAAGAAAAAUGAGGGAGUACUGGUGGUGUUUCUGGGGCAGCGGAAACACCAGUUGUGAAUGAUUCAAACAUGUGGCAUGACAAUGAACUCACUGAUGAAGUUUUGACCAAGUUAAAUAUUUUCCAAAUUGUGCUUCAUUAGCAACAUGCCAAAAACAAGACAUGGCACCUGAAGAAUUGGCUCGGAAAAAGUUUCCAGCAAAAUGUGUUUCUUCUCCAUUUGUGGUAGAUUUUGGUUCUAAUAUAAGUUGCACGUCAAAGUCAGCGCCCAAGUGCAUUUUUGAGGAGAAGUGUCCUUUUGUGAACAAUGUUGAUGAGUUUGAUCCCUAUUCACCUGAGGGUAGAGCAUUUGCUGAGUUUGUUGAUGAUGGGAUGAUUUCAACACAAAGGUAGCUUCAUUGUUUUAAGAUUUUUCUUUUCUUUUACAAUG